AGUAACUGAGGUCGGAACAGGUAGCCGACACCACGCAUAAGCGGUAGGAGAUGCAGAUUACCACCUGCCCUUUACU
ncrna:rumen bacterium NK3B98 skipping-rope RNA